rnacentral:rRNA from 1 species
UACGUAGGGGGCAAGCGUUAUCCGGAUUUACUGGGUGUAAAGGGAGCGUAGACGGCGAUGCAAGUCUGAAGUGAAAGGCGGGGGCCCAACCCCCGGACUGCUUUGGAAACUGUAUGGCUGGAGUGCAGGAGAGGUAAGUGGAAUUCCUAGUGUAGCGGUGAAAUGCGUAGAUAUUAGGAGGAACACCAGUGGCGAAGGCGGUUUACUGGACUGUAACUGACGUUGAGGCUCGAAAGCGUGGGGAGCAAACAGG